GACGAACGCUGGCGGCGUGCCUAAUACAUGCAAGUUGAGCGCUGAAGGUUGGUACUUGUACCAACUGGAUGAGCAGCGAACGGGUGAGUAACGCGUGGGGAAUCUGCCUUUGAGCGGGGGACAACAUUUGGAAACGAAUGCUAAUACCGCAUAAAAACUUUAAACACAAGUUUUAAGUUUGAAAGAUGCAAUUGCAUCACUCAAAGAUGAUCCCGCGUUGUAUUAGCUAGUUGGUGAGGUAAAGGCUCACCAAGGCGAUGAUACAUAGCCGACCUGAGAGGGUGAUCGGCCACAUUGGGACUGAGACACGGCCCAAACUCCUACGGGAGGCAGCAGUAGGGAAUCUUCGGCAAUGGACGAAAGUCUGACCGAGCAACGCCGCGUGGGUGAAGAAGGUUUUCGGAUCGUAAAACUCUGUUGGUAGAGAAGAACGUUGGUGAGAGUGGAAAGCUCAUCAAGUGACGGUAACUACCCAGAAAGGGACGGCUAACUACGUG
rnacentral:rRNA from 1 species